CGCUGGGGAGCGUCAAUCGACUGCAGAGCCAGCAGACAAAGUAGUUAUGCCACUGAGAGGCACACAUUUGUCAUAUGCUAUAAUCCUAACAUAUUUUAAUGCUUUUUCUAUUUAAACCUAAUGGAUCUAAGGUUUGACCUUCAAAAUUUAGGAAGAAUAUUUUUUUGCAGUAAUGACCCCCUUAAACAACCAGAGGUCCUUUCCUAAAGUUUAUGGAAAUUUUAGUGAAGGCCUUGGUUUCUUUCCUUGCAAAAUGUAUAGAAAUAAUAAAGCUAAAUACCAUAAAAUGGUCUUGGCGUAUUAGCAGUGAUAUAAAAUAGUGGUUUGAAUAUGAAUGAACAACAAAAAAAAACAUCAACAGAGCCUUUUUGAGUUGGGAUUCUUUCAUUAUCACACAAAAACAGACAUAGACAGACAUCUAAAGGGUAAGGGAAUGAUCAGCCCUCCUAACUCUCAGAUGAAUCUUCAAAAUUCACCGCAGAAAUAUGCUUAUUAUUUUUCUCAGAGUACUGCAAGAUAUAUACACACACACAGACACACACACACACACACACACACACACACACACACACACACACACACACACACACACACAGACACACUCAGAGUCUGUUUUUUAGCACCUGCAAAAACAUGCUAUUUACAUAUUUGACAAGAAUGCAGAGGCUCCUUUUGCCCCUGAAAAAAAUCAAAUUUCAAACACAACUUGACUGCUCAUUUCUCCAAAAGACAACCAUGAAGCUCCAUCCAAACCUGAAGCAGGCAGUUGGUGCAUGUGUACAGUAACCUGAGGGGAGUGAGGUGACUGCUUCUGAGGAGAACAUGAGCAGUGAAGAUUCACCUUGGAGCUAGAACAGGGACGUGCACAUGAUUAUACAGGGGCAGGGGCUCAAGUUUUUUCCAGUCAUUUAUACAAUAUGGAAAUUAAUGUGAAAUUAAAAAACAAAGUAUUAAUAGAAAGGUAAUGACUGUCCUGUGUAGAUGACAGUGAUAUCCAAUAGGCUAGGCACUCACGAGGCUGGCUGUGGCAAGUGUAAGUGAAAGCAACACGCACUGGCAGGAAGAACAGCAAACGCCGAUGAAGGAAAAGGGUCUUUGCAGUGAUGGGCGUUACCAGAGAGGGCGAUGGCCAGAGGACACGAAUGGGACGGGGAGGCAGCGCGUUGGGGGGGGGGGGGCGGCGCGACACGGCUCGGGCCCGCCAGUGCCCCAACGGGGCCCUAGUUAUUUUUGUCCUCACUGGCCUCCAAGUUUUCUAGGAUGAUGCAAUGUCCAGCCAUCAACACAUGUGUGAAGGAAUUUUUACUCCCUAAAAGAGCGCCCCCCCCCCCCCCCCCCAUGGCAGUAGAAAAAAGUCAAUUUUUCUCUUUACCCCUAAGGUAAAGAUACACAUUGUUGAGUGUCACGCCUGUACGCUUUGUCAUAUUGACACAAAAUUUGACAAUCAUGUGUAGCUCAAUAAGAUCUACGAAAAAGUCAAUGCGCACGUAUCUGUAAAAUGUACGGUUAAAGGGCUAUUUCGCAUUUUUUGCCGAUUCGCACACAUUGGAAUGUGGCUAACUCCUCCUAAGGCUUUCGUCCCACCGACACCAAAUUUGCUCAGGCCAAUCUACACCCCAUGGCCAUUCAAAGUUGUUCAAAUCAUGAUGCUGCACCCCACAGUUUACGUUCUAGGGGGCGCCAAAGAUGACCCAAAUAUCCACAUGUUUAAAAGUCUUCUAACUUUUAUUUUUGUCCUCACUGGCCUCCAAGUUUUCUAGGAUGAUUCAAUGUCCAGCCAUCAACACAUUUGUGAAGGAAUUUUUCUCCCUAAAAGAUGAGUGUGUCAUUGUGUUAGAAAAGAAAGUGGUUUACUUACACAUCCAUAGAAAAUAGGUGGUUGAGCACAGCACGCAAACAAAGCUUUGCCACGACGGUGGAACUUCCCAAGUAGCCGAUACCAAGGUCACACAAUCAUGGUGAGCAAAGGUCAAACCAGGCCAGGCACUCAUGAGGCUGGCUGUGGCAAGUGUAAGUGAAAGCAACAUGCAAUGGCAGGAAGAACAGCAAACGCCGAUGAAGGAAAAGGGUCUUUGCAGUGAUGGGCGUUACCAGAGAGGGCGAUGGCCAGAGGACGCGAAUGGGACGGGGAGGCGAUCGCGUUGGGGGGGGGGGUGCGCGACACGGCUCGGGCCCGCCAGUGCCCCAACGGGGCCCUAGUCUUCUUCUUUUUCCUCCCCUUUGAACUGGAAAAUGGCCCACUUCCCACUGGCGAAAACUCAUGAAAUUUGGCAGGACGACCGGGCCUGGUAAAAAAUUCGAUAUUCUGAAGUCGCCCAAACAAUAAAAUGCAAAAUGGCUCCAUAGCGCCCCCAAAGGUGAAAAUUCACACCAUUGACUGUCACGCCUGUACGCUUUGUCAUAUUGACACAAAAUUUGACACACACAUGUAUCUCAAUAAGAUCUACAAAAAAGUCAGUGUGGGCGUAUCUGUCAAAUGUACGGUUGAAGGGUUAUUUCGCAUUUUUUGCCGAUCCGCACACAUUGGAAUUUCGCUAACUCCUCCGAAGGCUUUCGUUCCACCGGCACCAAAUUUGCUCAGGCCAAUUUACACCCCAUGGCCAUUAAAAAAUGUACAAAUCAUGGUGCUACACGCCACGGUUUACGUUCUAGGGGGCGCCAAAGAUAACCCAAAAAUCCACAUUCUUAAAAGUCUUAUAGCUUUUUAUUUUUGUCCUCAAUGGCCUCCAAGUUUUCUAGGAUGAUGCAAUGUCUAGCCAUCAACACAUUUGUGAAGGAAUUUUUACUCCCUAAAAGAGCUCCCCCCCAUGGCAGGAGAAAAAGUCAAGUUUUUCCUGCCCAUCGCUCAAUGGCUCAAACACAUUGCUCUCUCGGCAAAACCGAAAGGAGGAGCAACUUGCCAUUUGGAUAUAUCCUAGCUGUGUUUGUGCCCUCACUCAUGGUCCAGACUUUUUUCAAAUAGGACAUGUAGUUUGUCUGCAGCGAGCGUUUUGGUAGAAACUGCGCCUCCCAUUCAUUAUAAUGGUAAAUGACCACAGACAAGUGCGCACACCAUCUUUGGACCUUGAGUGUGACGCGAUCGGGAGGGAGAGGCGGUCGUGCUGGGGGCGGCGCGACACAGCUCGGGCCCGCGAGUGCCCCAACGGGGCCCUAGUUCUUCUUUUUCCUCCCCUUUGAACUGGAAAAUGGCCCACUUCCCACUGGCGAAAACUCAUGAAAUUUGGCAGGACGACCGGGCCUGGUGAAAAAUUUGAUAUUCUGAAGUCGCCCAAACAAUAAAAUGCCAAAUGGCUCCAUAGCGCCCCCUAAGGUGAAAAUUCACAUGACGGCUGUACGCUUUGUCAAAAUGACACAAAAAUUGACACACACAUGUAUCUCAAUAAGAUCUACAAAAAAGUCAGCGCGGGCGUAUCUGUCAAAUGUACGGUUAAAGGGUUAUUCCACAUUUUUUGCCGAUCCGCACACAUUGGAAUUUUGCUAACUCCUCCGAAGGCUUUCGUUCCACCGGCACCACAUUUGCUCAGGCCAAUCUACACCCCAUGGCCAUUAAAAUUGUUCAAAUCAUGACGCUGCACCCCACGGUUUACGUUCUAGGGGGCGCCAAAGAUAACCCAAAAAUCCACAUAUUUAAAAGUCUUAUAACUUUUUAUUUUUGUCCUCACUGGCCUCCAAGUUUUCUAGGAUGAUGCAAUGUCCAGCCAUUAACACAUUUGUGAAGGAAUCUUUACUCCCCAAAAGAGCGCCCCCCAUGGCAGGAGAAAAAAGUCCAUUUUUUCUUGUCCCCUAAGGUGAAAAUACACAUUGUUGAGUGUCAAGCCUGUUCGCUUUGUCAUAUUGACACAAAAUUUGACAAUCACAUGUAUCUCAAUAAGAUCUACGAAAAAGUCAAUGCGCGCGUAUCUGUCAAAUGUACGGUUAAAGGGCUAUUUUGCAUUUUUUGGCGAUUCGCACACAUUGGAAUGUGGCUAACUCCUCCUAAGGCUUUCGUCCCACUGACACCAAAUUUGCUCAGGCCAAUCUACACCCCAUGGCCAUUUAAAGUUGUAAAAAUCAUGACGCUGCACCCCACGGUUUACGUUCUAGGGGGCCCCAAAGAUGACCCAAAUAUACAUUACAGCAGACAAAGUAGUUUUGGCCACUGAGUGGCGCCAAAGGGACUUGUCUAUGGUGUCUAGGAGUCACUAUUGGCCGUUUUUGACUACUUUAAAUUUUACCUUUAUAUUUCCUCUUAAAAAAUUUUUACCUUGCCUUGCCUGGUAUCAUUUUUUUCAGCACAACCUCACCUGUGUGAAUUUACAGUUAUUUUAUCAUUUUGACAUACUGUAUUUACACAAUGGACCCAAAUUCACACACAAAACAUAAAAUCCGAGUGGAAAAAAGUAACAUUUUUACUGUGAAAACCACAAAUAGGUGUGAUGAACUGUUUUUAAAACUUAAACUUCAAAUAAAAAUUGUAAACUUCAAAACAUAUGCAAAUUUUUAACAAAGAACAUAGUAAUUUACCUCUAUUUACAUCAAAAUGCAGGCAAUGGCCCAGGCGUUCAUUGUAAAAUUAUUUACAAAACACUGUAUAGUCUCACAAAUGUCACUUUUUUUUAUGCCACUACAAAAAAACAUGAUGUAAAUGAUGCAUGAUGUAAAACAUGAUGUAAAAAACUCGUGUAGAUCCUCCUCUAUGUCAGUCCAUGUGUAAUUUUUCCAUAAUUCUUUGUUUUUUGCAGCAUUUUUGUUAGUGUAACUGCAGAUUGUGCUGACAGUGUCUAUGGCAAAAAAAAAAAAAAAAAAACUGAAAAUGCCUCAACAUGAACCCCUGGUGGUCUCUGAGGGUGAAACCUGCUAACUGCUGCAGCUCUGUCAGCUUCAGUCUCCCAUGCAGAGCUCGGAGCGCAUGUGUGGCUCUGCACCCUUAGCAGCGUUGCUAACUCCUCAGUAAGGAAAGCCUGCUUCAUGUCAGAGUCUCUAAACUCCAGAAGAAGUCGAUAAAAGUCCCUUUCUUUCUAAAAAAAAGUCGUUAGGGGGUCUGAAAAGUCAUUGAAUCUGACAACAAAGUCGCUAGGUUUGCAACUACGUGUCCCAGACUGCAUCCCUGCUGAGAGUCCCUCCCUCCCUUCUCAUGUUGCAGGAAGAACGUAAGCGCCCGCCCCUUGUCAAUCAGUCACCAUAUAAUUUUGGAUUGGUUGUUGUGGUGAAGUUUUCCACCAAUAGGAGAAUGUUGUGGUGUGUUUUUUUUUUCUUUUGGCAAGCCUUUUCCGCCUGUAAGACCUGUCGCUAAUGUGUGCAUGCUAUGUUUUCCUGUCUCAUACAGCGCGAUCGAGCGCCGAACGUGAUCAGAAUAAGCAGAAAAAAAGUAUCGCGGACAUAAUUUAUCAUAACUCUGGUUUUAUUUGGCCUAUAAACACAAUUUAAAAACUGGUAUAUAGGUUGAGGUCCUCACUUUUGAGAUAAGUUGAAACGGAGAGUCAACGAGGCUCUGUCUUGCAGCUACAUCCGGUUAAAUAUGUCAUGUGACUUGAACGCUGGGGAGCGUCAAUCGACUGCAGAGCCAGCAGACAAAGUAGUUAUGGCCACUGAGAGGCACACAUUUGUCAUAUGCUAUAAUCCUAACAUAUUUUAAUGCUUUUUCUAUUUAAACGUAAUGGAUCUAAGCUUUGACCUUCAAAAUUUAGGAAGAAUAUGUUUUUGCAGUAAUGACCCCCUUAAACAACCAGAGGUCCUUUCCUAAAGUUUAUGGAAAUUUUAGUGAAGGCCUUGGUUUCUUUCCUUGCAAAAUGUAUAGAAAUAAUAAAGCUAAAUACCAUAAAAUGGUCUUGGCAUAUUAGCAGUGAUAUAAAAUAGUGGUUUGAAUAUGAAUGAACAACAAAAAAAAACAUCAACAGAGCCUUUUUGAGUUGGGAUUCUUUCAUUAUCACACAAAAACAGACAUAGACAGAC